AACUCAUCAACCAGAAGGGGUUCCUUCUGGUUGAUGAGGUAUAAUGACCUCACUGACCAGAAGUAUUCCCCUCCAGUCAAUGAGGUUGUAAUACCUCAUCAACUGGAAGGGGUUCCUUCAGGUAAAUGAGUU
rnacentral:miRNA from 1 species